UACGGGAGGCAGCAGUAGGGAAUUUUCGGCAAUGGGCGCAAGCCCUGACCGAGCAACGCCGCGUGAGUGAAGACGGCCUUAGGGUUGUAAAAGCUCUGUUGUAAAGGAAGAACAGCUAGAAUAGAAUUUUAGUGUGACGGUACUUUACCAGAAAGCCACGGCUAACUACGUGCCAGCAGCCGCGGUAAUACGUAGGUGGCAAGCGUUAUCCGGAAUUAUUGGGCGUAAAGGGAGCGCAGGCGGUUGAUUAAGUUUAAGGUGAAAGCGUGGGGCUUAACCCCAUAAAGCCUUAGAAACUGGUCAACUAGAGUGCAGAAGAGGGUAGUGGAAUUCCAUGUGUAGCGGUAAAAUGCGUAGAUAUAUGGAGGAACACCAGUGGCGAAGGCGGCUACCUGGUCUGUAACUGACGCUGAGGCUCGAAAGCGUGGGGAGCAAAUAGGAUUAGAUACCCUAGUAGUCCACGCUGUAAACGAUGAAUACUAAGUGUUGGGGAAACUCAGUGCUGCAGUUAACGCAAUAAGUAUUCCGCCUGGGGAGUAUGC
rnacentral:rRNA from 1 species